UCCGAUGGCUACGUGGCCGCU
rnacentral:snRNA from 1 species